GUUCAUCUCCCAAGUCCGCCCCACGCCGGGCGGGGCCUGGCCGGACUGCUCUAACUGCCCCCGCGAGCCCAGGGCACCAGCCACGAGGUGGCCGGCACGGGCCUGGGUCAGGAUGGCUACGUGGAGACGGGAUGGCCGGUUAACCGGCAGCCAGCGGCUCCUGUGUGCGGGGCUGGCCGGGGCGUUCAGCCUCAGCCUCACCGCGCCCCUGGAGCUUGCCACUGUGCUGGCCCAAGUCGGCAAGGUGCAAAGCCACUCCCUGGGGCUGUGGGCCACCGGACGCCGGGUGUGGCUGUCCGAGGGGCCAAGGGCCCUGUGGAAAGGGAAUGGCGUGGCCUGCCUGCGCCUCUUCCCCUGCAGCAUGGUACAGCUGGCCGCCUACCGAAAGUGCUGUUCCCUUCUCUGCUGGCUCCCUUCUAGUUUACAUGAACCUGGAAAAAGUCUGGAAUGGACCCCGGGACCGCUUUUCUCACCUGCAGAACUUUGCCAAUGUCUGUGUGGCUGCUGCUGUGAGCCAGACCCUCUCCUUUCCCUUUGACACUGUGAAGAGAAAGAUGCAGGCUCAAAGUCCUUAUCUUCCCCACUAUGGAGGAGUAGAUGUCCACUUCUCAGGAGCAGCUGACUGCUUCCGGCAGAUCGUGAAAACCCAAGGGGUACUGGGGCUCUGGAACGGACUGACGGCUAACUUACUAAAGGUAGUUCCAUAUUUUGGAGUUAUGUUUAGCAUGUUUGAGUUCUGUAAGAGAAUUUUUCUUUAUCAAAAUGGUUACACCCUGUCCCCACUGACCUAUAAACUGACCCCAGGAGUGGACCAAAGUUUGAAGCCCCAGGAAUUACGGGAGCUAAAGAAGUUCUUCAAACGCAGAAAACUGCACUCCAAAACACCACCUUGGUAAAUAAAGCUGACUAGAACUACACUGGUAGAAGUGCAGCAAUCAUAGAUGAAUAUGGUGACCUCUUAACUGUGCACAUCAGGAGGAGGGAGAGGAAAUGGGAGCACG
rnacentral:lncRNA from 1 species